GCAUAUCAUAGCGAGAAAGGAACCCAACAGGGAUUGCCCUAGUAACGGCGAGUGAAGCGGCAACAGCUCAAAUUUGAAAUCUGGCGUCUUUGGCGUCCGAGUUGUAAUUUGCAGAGGGCGCUUUGGCGUUGGCAGCAGUCUAAGUUCCUUGGAACAGGACGUCACAGAGGGUGAGAAUCCCGUACGUGGUUGCUGGCCUUCGCCGUGUAAAGCCCCUUCGACGAGUCGAGUUGUUUGGGAAUGCAGCUCUAAAUGGGAGGUAAAUUUCUUCUAAAGCUAAAUACUGGCCAGAGACCGAUAGCGCACAAGUAGAGUGAUCGAAAGAUGAAAAGCACUUUGGAAAGAGAGUCAAACAGCACGUGAAAUUGUUAAAAGGGAAGCGCUUGCAGCCAGACUUGCCUGUAGUUGCUCAUCCGGACUUUUGUCCGGUGCACUCUUCUAUAGGCAGGCCAGCAUCAGUUUGGGCGGUUGGAUAAAGGUCUCUGUCAUGUACCUCUCUUCGGGGAGAACUUAUAGGGGAGACGACAUGCAACCAGCCUGGACUGAGGUCCGCGCAUUUGCUAGGAUGCUGGCGUAAUGGCUGUAAGCGGCCCGUCUUGAAACACGGACCAAGGAGUCUAACAUCUAUGCGAGUGUUUGGGUGUCAAGCCCGAACGCGUAAUGAAAGUGAACGGAGGUGGGAACCCCUCGGGGUGCACCAUCGACCGAUCCUGAUGUCUUCGGAUGGAUUUGAGUAAGAGCAUAGCUGUUGGGACCCGAAAGAUGGUGAACUAUGCUUGAAUAGGGUGAAGCCAGAGGAAACUCUGGUGGAGGCUCGCAGCGGUUCUGACGUGCAAAUCGAUCGUCAAAUUUGGGCAUAGGGGCGAAAGACUAAUCGAACUAUCUAGUAGCUGGUUUCCUGCCGA
rnacentral:rRNA from 1 species